rnacentral:rRNA from 1 species
CUGUUAUCCCCACGGUAACUUGUUGUAAUCCUUUAAUUUAGGGUUUAAAGGGUAAGAAGAUUAUAAAAGAUUUGGUUUUCAACCGCCCCAGUUAAAAAUAAAUUUAAGUUCGAUGGGGUCUUGUCGUCUUCUCUUAAAUUUAGGCCUUUUUACUUAAAUGUAAGUUUUGAUAAGUCAUAGUAGUAAAGAAUUCAACUCGUUUAUCCUUUCAUGCUAGCCUUUAAUUAGAAGGCGAGUGAUUAUGCUACCUUAGCACAGAAUUUUGCGGCUAUUUAAGAGUCAUUGAGCAGGACAUACUAAUUG